rnacentral:misc_RNA from 1 species
UGCCGACGCGCCGAGCAACUGCGCAGCGCGGCCCCAAUCGCCCCGUUCGCCUGCGAUGUGGGCCACGCCGAGCAGGCAGUAGCUCAUCACCCUGAUGCUCUUCAGCCUGGUGGCCAGCUCGAGGCUUUCGCGCAGUCGGGCUUCGGCCGUGGCAGUGUCUCCCGUGAGCCGGGCGACGUUGCCCAGGUUGUGCAGCUCGAGCGCCACGCCUCGCUCGUCGCCGAGCGCCCGAUAGGCCUCCAGGCUCUCGUUGUAAAGGGGCAGCGCAUCG